rnacentral:rRNA from 1 species
CCUACGGGUGGCUGCAGUGAGGAAUAUUGGUCAAUGGACGCAAGUCUGAACCAGCCAUGCCGCGUGCAGGAAGACGGCUCUAUGAGUUGUAAACUGCUUUUGUACGAGGGUAAACGCAGAUUCGCGUAUCUGUCUGACUGUAUCGUACGAAUAAGGGUCGGCUAACUCCGGGCCAUCAGCCGCGGUAAUAAGGAGGAUUCAAGCGUUACCCGGAUUUAUUGGGUUGAAAGGGUGCGUAGGCGGUAUGUUAAGUUAGAGGUGAAAUCCCGAGGCUGAACGUCGGAAUUGCCUUUGAUACUGUUCGGCUAGAGAGUAGUUGCGGUAAGCGGAAUGUAUGGUGUAGCGGUGAAAUGCUUAGAGAGCAUACAGAACACCGAUUGCGAAGGCAGCUUACCAAGCUACUUCUGACGUUGAGGCACGAAAGCGUGGGGAGCAAACAGGAUUAGAGACCCGAGUAGUC